rnacentral:sRNA from 1 species
UGUGAAAAUGUCUGGCCCUGGGUAGGAGGCUGCAGAUAGUCCCUGGGCCGGGGCUCGCGCUGGCCGGCUGCAGCGCGCAGGGUGCCAAGCCCUCCCCUACGAAGUCUGUUUUGUCUCAGGCUGGGCUGAGUCACAUAGAAUAGAUAGAUAGUUGAUUUAGCACAUGUCCUCCAGAUCAUAUUAUCCGCCUACAAAUAUAGCCUGUUAGCGCACAGGCACGGGAGGCUUCUUCCGGCUCGGCCGUGCUGCUCAGCGGGUGUAAACAGCCUCUGCGGUGUAAACAGCCUCUGCGGUGUAAACAGCCUCUGCGGUGUAAACAGCCGCGGCGGGCAGGCCAGGACUGUCAGUGCCCGCCCCUCGGGGCAGGAUAAAGGAGGAGUGGAACUUUGUGGCCGAAUGCAGGAGGAAGGGCAUCCCCCAGGCUGUAUACUGCAAGAAUGGCUUCAUAGACACCAGCGUGCGGCUUCUG